CAGCAGCCGCGGGAACACGUAGGGUGCAAGCGUUAUCCGGAAUUAUUGGGCGUAAAGAGCUCGUAGGCGGUCUGUCGCGUCUGCUGUGAAAACUGGGGGCUCAACCCCCAGCCUGCAGUGGGUACGGGCAGACUAGAGUGCGGUAGGGGAGAUUGGAACUCCUGGUGUAGCGGUGGAAUGCGCAGAUAUCAGGAAGAACACCGAUGGCGAAGGCAGAUCUCUGGGCCGUAACUGACGCUGAGGAGCGAAAGCAUGGGGAGCGAACAGGAUUAGAUACCCCUGUAGUCCCUGUCUCUUAUAC
rnacentral:rRNA from 1 species